rnacentral:rRNA from 1 species
UACGUAGGUGGCAAGCGUUGUCCGGAAUUAUUGGGCGUAAAGCGCGCGCAGGCGGCCUCUUAAGUCUGAUGUGAAAGCCCCCGGCUCAACCGGGGGAGGGCCAUUGGAAACUGGGAGGCUUGAGUAUAGGAGAGAAGAGUGGAAUUCCACGUGUAGCGGUGGAAAUGCGUAGAGAUGUGGAGGAACACCAGUGGCGAAGGCGACUCUUUGGCCUAUAACUGACGCUGAGGCGCGAAAGCGUGGGGAGCAAACAGG